rnacentral:tRNA from 1 species
GUCGGCUUAGUCGGUCAAAGUGCCUGUUUUGAAAACAGUAGACCCUUGGUUCAAAUCCCAGCAGAGACA